rnacentral:rRNA from 1 species
AAUGCGAUAAGUAAUGUGAAUUGCAGAUUUUCAGUGAAUCAUCGAAUCUUUGAACGCACCUUGCGCCCCUUGGUAUUCCGAGGGGCAUGCCUGUUUGAGUGUCAU